rnacentral:rRNA from 1 species
GUACACUCCUGCGGGAGGCAGCAGUGGGGAAUUUUGGACAAUGGGCGAAAGCCUGAUCCAGCCAUGCCGCGUGCAGGAUGAAGGCCUUCGGGUUGUAAACUGCUUUUGUACGGAACGAAACGGCCUUUUCUAAUAAAGAGGGCUAAUGACGGUACCGUAAGAAUAAGCACCGGCUAACUACGUGCCAGCAGCCGCGGUAAUACGUAGGGUGCAAGCGUUAAUCGGAAUUACUGGGCGUAAAGCGUGCGCAGGCGGUUAUGUAAGACAGUUGUGAAAUCCCCGGGCUCAACCUGGGAACUGCAUCUGUGACUGCAUAGCUAGAGUACGGUAGAGGGGGAUGGAAUUCCGCGUGUAGCAGUGAAAUGCGUAGAUAUGCGGAGGAACACCGAUGGCGAAGGCAAUCCCCUGGACCUGUACUGACGCUCAUGCACGAAAGCGUGGGGAGCAAACAGGAUUAGAAACCCGAGUAGUCCCAU